GCUGUGAUGGCUGAGUGGUUAAGGCGUUGGACUUGAAAUCCAAUGGGGUCUCCCCACACAGGUUCAAUCCUUGAUCGCAUGUUGCU